ensembl:lncRNA uncharacterized LOC110091754
CACUUCCAAAAUUCGUUCAGCUCCUUCUGCCUCCGUCCCCCUCCCCAAAUGGCAGUGUCACACUCUUUUGGGCUACAGCUUGGGGAUUCUGGGGUUUGUUGUUUCGAAAAAAAGGAAACGUUCCUGCACUCUUGUUAAAGGUCAAUGAAAUGGGCUAGAAAGAACCUUAGAAGGCGGGAAGGAGUUCCCAGAGGGGGGGUGGAAAGUCUGCGGGCAAAAAAGCAACACAAAAAUUGUGACGCUGGUGACUUCGCAAAGAUCUGUCCUCUGAAGAUGCUGGCCACAGAGACUGGCGAAACGUUAGGAAGAACAACCUUCAGAACACAGCCAAAGAGCCCGAAAAACCCACACCAACCAUCAUCAUAACUACUCCCGAGUAGGAUCACUGCCAGAGGUAAAAAAGCACAGGUUUCAGAAAGCACCUUCCCAUUUGAGAAGCCCCAGGACAAACGCUGGUUUCUCUGAAAGUGGAGGGUCAUCCCUCGUGGCAGACGCCGGCUUUUGACAUCACACUGGGAAGUUCAGUCCCUGUGCCUCUUUCCACCACCUUGUCUGGAGACAGCCAGGUGAGUCUCCUUGCAACUGCCGGAGAGGAGAUGCAACCAGGAAGUGCCUGCCGCCCCACCUGGGCAAGAGAGCAAACAAGCCGCCAGCCAGCCAGUCAGCCGCCCACGCUUCACCUCUCCAGCCUCCACGCCUGUUCUGGGGAGCUUCCUCACUAAAAACUGUGGCCUCCACAGCGGGGGACCCCUGGCCUUGCCCGGCAGACGAGACACUCAGACGGAGGAUGGCUCCUCCACCACCCCGAAGAGCGGAGCCUGUAGCCUCAGAAGCCCCGGAGAACCCGUCGGCCCUCCUCUUGGGGAGUUUGGCGUCCGUGGCCCCUGUCAUCCUGACGAUCCUUCUGCUGCUUCUCUGCUUCCACUUUAAAAGCAAAAAGCGGCAGUUCUCAACCGGAGAUCCCACGAGGGACCGAAACACCUCCGUGCUGCUUCGCAUGAUUGGAGGACAAAACGAGCCGAAUGCAGGAGCAACGCAUCUGGAGAAUGGAGGACUCUGCCAAGGCAGUUCUCCGGUCAGUUGCCGGCCAGAGAGGCCAACGAACGGAACGGUGGCUGCGGAGUUUCACCAAAGAAGUGCAAACUCUCAGACGGAAACGCCCACGAUGAGCCGAGCCUCCCCCAAGCGGUUCGCGCAGCGCAGGAAGAUGGAGGUAGACCACCUGCGAGGCACGGCUCCUCAACGGUUGUGUCCUAGAGCUGCAUCGCCAAGUGCCCUGCAGUUCAGGAAGCUGCCUAUGACCCCCAAAGAGGCUCACGUGCCCCGAAUAGAGCCGCUGAAUCAGGACGCGGACAAUGAGGUUUAUGAAAGCAUCUGCGAUGAAGCAAGAGAUCCAGGUGCUGGGGUUUGCAUGGAAAGUAGGAAGGGCGCUGAUUCAACAACCAGGGGACGGCCAAAUUCUGCUGGAGAGGGGGCCCCCUCUGCAGAAUCCACAGAAUCGGCUGGAAUGACGGUAGCAUGUGGUAGCACAACAGGGCAGCCGGCGGCCCACUGGCAACACAUUGAGUUCCCUAGCGAAUUGCCGGGUGUGGCAAGUGAGCAAGGGGCUCCACAUCCAGUAGCUCCGGAUACCGAGAAGCGGCUGAGCGCCAUGUAUGCCCGAGUGCGCAAGAGGCCCAAGGCGUUUCCGCAGCAAGAGCCUGGAAAGCCCGCAGAGCAAGAAGUGGAAGAGGAACCGCCACCUAUUCCAGAGAAACAUUUUGAGGAUAUCUAUGAGAGUCUGAGCGUUGAUGCCGUGGGGCAGGAUGGCAUGAGGACAGAACUGACAGUCCCUUCAGAGGCUUGAACACUUCAGGGAGCUGAGAGGCAAGUCUCCAGACCAGGCCAGGAUCCUGCAGUGGCUUCUUCUGGGCUUCUCUCUCAUGGGGACAGGGAAACUGAGGCACAGAACCUCAGCCGUCACAAGGAAACGGCUCAGGAACUGGGUUCCCUUUCGCUCCUGAGGGCUACCUUUGGGAGGUGGGUGAUGUGGCCAGCGGGGGUCCUGUUGCCCUGAUCGUGCUGUGAUGUGGACUUCUCUGAGUCACCAGCGGUUCGCCCCAAGAAUCACACAGGAGUGUGUUGUGGUGUUUAAGGGAACAGGCUGCACCUCCUUCUUACUUCCGAAUAAGGGGACGAAGAGACAAAGGACCAGCUUUGCACUUGAAAAGCGCUAAAACGUUUUCCCUUCUGAGAUGCAUUCUCCAAAGCUGCUGUGGGAUAGCAGUCUGAAUUGGAAAUGAAGCCCUUGCUUAUCUCCUGAGGACCAGUCACAAAAGAUGAGCAAGCAAAUCCACCAGGAUUCCCAGUGUGGUGUGGUGUACUGAAUAGUGACGGACCAGGACUCUGGGGAACCGGGUUUGAAUCCCUGCUCAGCCAGUAGAACUCACUGGAACAGUGGAACUGGUCGGACUAACCACUGACCUUGAAAGCCCUAUUAGGGUCUCUUUAGGUCCGUUCUCCAGAUCAUCAACAGCCUUCUCGUCUUGCUUCUCAUCUGUAAAAUGGACAUAAUAAAAGGGUGCCACCUUGAAUUGCCCUGGAGACA